rnacentral:lncRNA from 1 species
CAGGAGGCUUUCUGGGCUCUGAGGAAGACUCAGAGAAACGGCUCCUUUGUUCUCCAGCCCUGCCCAGCCCAGAGCCUUCCAGAAGGGAAAACUCAGUGAGGAGGCUGCAGACUGCCGAGGGCGUGUUGAGGAAAUUCCAUUCAAGACCCUCAUUUCCGAAAGUGCUCUGUGAUUAGCCCGGCUUUGUGCCAGCCCCAGUCCAGAGGCAGAGAGGCCAGCCCUUAGGUCACCAAAAGCAUCAGGAAAAUACAAAUGCGGGCCCCUUUACAGCCCGGCACAGGAGGUUAAAGGAUUUGCU